rnacentral:rRNA from 1 species
UACGUAGGUGACAAGCGUUGUCCGGAUUUACUGGGCGUAAAGAGCGCGCAGGCGGUCGUUCAAGUCGAGUGUGAAAGCCCCCGGCUCAACUGGGGAGGGUCACUCGAUACUGAUCGACUCGAAGGCAGGAGAGGGAAGUGGAAUUCCCGGUGUAGUGGUGAAAUGCGUAGAUAUCGGGAGGAACACCAGUGGCGAAGGCGGCUACCUGGACAAUUGCUGACGCUCAGGCACGAAAGCGUGGGGAGCAAAAGGG